rnacentral:rRNA from 1 species
UACGUAGGGUGCAAGCGUUGUCCGGAAUCAUUGGGCGUAAAGCGCACGUAGGCGGUUUGUUAUGUCGGAUGUGAAAGCCCUUGGCUUAACCGAGGAAGUGCAUCCGAAACUGGCGAGCUAGAGUACUAAAGAGGAUCGCGGAAUUCCCGGUGUAGAGGUGAAAUUCGUAGAUAUCGGGAGGAACACCGGUGGCGAAGGCGGCGAUCUGGGUAGAUACUGACGCUGAGGUGCGAAAGCGUGGGGAGCAAACAGG